rnacentral:lncRNA from 1 species
AAAAGCUGAAAGAGUUACUUUAACGUCAAAGGUAAAAUCAACCACUUUGUCCAUAACUCAGAUCCAUCGGAGAAGAUUAUGAGAGACUGGAGAUGAAAAACUCAAACGCUAGAUAAUGAAAUAUGCAUUACCAGCAUUUAAUUCUCAGGUGAGUCUAGCUGAAGAGAUUGAUGUUAAUGACGUCCUCUGAAAAUUAAUUGUUUGAGGAUGGAUGAAUGAGUAUUUUCAAAAUUUCUUCCUCCUUUUCAUGUUGCUGUUUAUGGUUUUGCCAAGUUCACAUUAAGUUUUGUUACAGGCUUGAAGGUGCAACUUAUCAAUCAAAGCCUCAACAAAAAAGGGGCUAAGCUUACUUGCUUAAAAUGAAUGCGUUAUUGUCGUUUUCCCUACAUAGGGCGCACAUUUUCAUUUAAACUAGUAUCCAACAUUUUGGCAACUGUUCCGUUUCUAAACUGUAAGUAACGCUAUGUCACUCUUGGUUUUUUGUUUGUUUUUGAAGUUUUUUCUUUUUAUUUAUUUUUUUAUUAAAGUGCAGUUUAUUUACAGUGUUAAUUUCUGCAGUGCAGCAAAGUGACUCUCUUAUACAUACAUACCUUCUUUUUUAUAUUUCUUUCCAUUAUGGUUUAUCCCGGAGAUUGGAUAUUUUUCCCUGUGCUAUAAAGUAUCCUUUAUAGUAGGACAGACCCUAUUUAGUAAGAUAGAUCCUAUAGGGUAGGAUCUCUGUCGAUUCUAAAGGUAAUAAUUUGCAUCUGUUGACCCUGAACUUGGUUUGGAAGUCAGCGCUCUAGUUGAAUGUCAUUAAAGGGGACACCGGAGGCGUGGUGCUGCUUUUAACGAGGAAAACCGUGAACUUUGAAAAUGGCUUCUCAACCCCGCAUUCACUUUUACUUGGUGUAUUAAAACUAUUCUGUGUCAGUUUUUCUCUUAAUAUUUAAUAAAUACUAUAGUUAUGGAUAAUAGUACUUCGUAUAUAAUAGGAGAUCUCUGUAUAUUUUAUUUAUGAAUAUAUCAUGAUCAAUAAAUGCAUGUUUACUGGGUUGGGUUGGUACCAAAGGUAGGCAUACAUAUUUAUAUUUAGUAUAUAUUACUAUUAUAUGUAUGUAUAAUAAUCAAUAAGAAAAAUAGUUACAAUAAUUUGUUAUUAAAAUUUUAUCCAUGAUUUGACUUUCAAAGUAGACGCUGAAAAAAAUUACUGUUUAAUAUGAUGUCUAAUAGACAGUGAAGGUGGUUUGCUAAUUAAAGAGAUUCUUUUUAACAUUGGUAGUAAAACCAGAAGUACAUCUAUGAAGACUUUUCUAAAUAGUCUAAUUUAUGUGUAAUUAUAUAACAAAGGUGAACUUGCAUUUAUAUGAUACAUAUUUAAGACCACAUGACAUAAAACUGUUUCUGAAAUUAUAACAUUAUUUUAUGGUGGAGGGGUGACUGAUAAGGAUAAGUGCCAUCUCGUGGGACUCUUUCUGAAUCUUUACAGAAACUUCAUUUGACCAUGAACAUUAUUGCUCUUGUCUCUCCAAAAAAUAUUCAUCAUCAGUUGAUCCAUAAUUUAUUUAAAAACAUGUGCUUAGUGGCAACUAAGUGACUAACUACACAUCCCAUAGCCAUAUUAUGCCUUAAUAAAUAUUCUGUAUAUUAAUUAACUACAUCAUAUAGUUCAUAAACAUGACGGAGUCCUUACAGUGUUAAAUUUAAACAUGGCACAGCCCACGAGUGUUAUACUGCAGUGAUAUUCUUUCACUUUUCAUUUGAACUAAUUAAAUAAUGUA